AACGAACGCUGGCGGCAUGCCUAACACAUGCCAGUCGAACGAGACCUUCGGGUCUAGUGGCGCACGGGUGCGUAACGCGUGGGAACCUGCCCUUAGGUUCGGAAUAACUCUCCGACAGGGGUGCUAAUACCGGAUAAUGUCUUCGGACCAAAGAUUUAUCGCGUUUGGAUGGGCCCGCGUUGGAUUAGCUAGUUGGUAGGGUAAAAGCCUACCAAGGCGACGAUCCAUAGCUGGUCUGAGAGGAUGAUCAGCCACACUGGGACUGAGACACGGCCCAGAAUCCUACGGGAGGCAGCAGUGGGGAAUAUUGGAAAAUGGGGGGAAGCCUGAUCCAGCAAUGCCGCGUGAGUGAUGAAGGCCUUAGGGUUGUAAAGCUCUUUUAACCGGGAUGAUAAUGACAGUACCGGGAGAAUAAGCUCCGGCUAACUCCGUG
rnacentral:rRNA from 1 species